GGAAUUUUGGACAAUGGGCGCAAGCCUGAUCCAGCCAUGCCGCGUGCGGGAAGAAGGCCUUCGGGUUGUAAACCGCUUUUGGCAGGAACGAAACGGCGCGAGCGAAUACCUCGCGCUAAUGACGGUACCUGCAGAAUCAGCACUGGCUAACCACGUGCCAGCAGCCGCGGUAAUACGUAGGGUGCGAGCGUUAAUCGGAAGUACUGGGCGUAAAGCGUACGCAGGCGGCUAUGCAAGACAGGUGUGAAAUCCCCGGGCUUAACCUGGGAACUGCAGUUGUGACUGCAUAGCUAGAGUUUGUCAGAGGGGGGUGGAAUUCCACGUGUAGCAGUGAAAUGCGUAGAGAUGUGGAGGAACACCGAUGGCGAAGGCAGCCCCCUGGGACCUGACUGACGCUCAUGUACGAAAGCGUGGGGAGCAAA
rnacentral:rRNA from 1 species